rnacentral:rRNA from 1 species
UAAGGAAUAUUGGUCAAUGGACGCAAGUCUGAACCAGCCAUGCCGCGUGGAGGAUGAAGGUCCUCUGGAUUGUAAACUUCUUUUAUCUGGGACGAAACACUUCUCUUCUAAGAGGCCUGACGGUACCAGACGAACAAGCACCGGCUAACUCCGUGCCAGCAGCCGCGGUAAUACGGAGGGUGCAAGCGUUAUCCGGAUUCACAGGGUUUAAAGGGUGCGUAGGUGGGUAUGUAAGUCAGUGGUGAAAUCCCCGAGCUUAACUUGGGAACUGCCAUUGAUACUAUUUAUCUUGACUACCGUAGAGGUAAGCGGAAUAUGUCAUGUAGCGGUGAAAUGCUUAGAUAAAACAUGGAACACCAAUUGCGAAGGCAGCUUACUAUGCGGUGAUUGACACUGAGGCACGAAAGCGUGG